rnacentral:rRNA from 1 species
AUGAUGAGCUUCAAGGGCCACGACGGAUUCGGGCAGGCCUCCAAUGGUGGUGGUGGUGGAGCCUCCGUGCCAUGGUGGACGGUGUCCCAGAUGCUGUACGGGGAGCCGGGGGCCGCCUUGUCGUCGUCGCCGGAGGCGGAGCCUCGCCGGGACGCCCAGUUCCAGGUCGUGCCCAGAGCUCAGGGCAUCCUGGAUCCACUGCCGGCGCCCAAGAGCGGGGCUCCUGAGGUCCUCAAGUUCUCGGUGUUCCAAGGGAAUUUGGAGUCGGGAGGCAACAAAGGAGAGAAGCCCAUGGAGCACUCCGCCACCAUCGCACUGCAGUCGCCGCUCCCGGAAUACAACAGUCGCUUCGAAUUUGGCCCGGGUCCUUCCAUGAUGUCUUCUGGUUAUCCUUCAGCCGAGCAGUGCUAUGGCCUGCUUACCACUUACGCGAUGAAAUCUACGCCUGGUGGCCGAUUGCUCUUGCCACUGAAUGCAACAGCUGACGCGCCGAUUUACGUGAAUGCGAAGCAGUAUGAAGGCAUCCUUCGCCGCCGCCGUGCUCGUGCCAAGGUGGAGCGAGAGAAUCAGCUGGUGAAAGGAAGAAAGCCGUAUCUUCACGAAUCACGCCACCGCCACGCGAUGCGCCGGGCGAGGGGCACGGGAGGGCGCUUCCUGAACACCAAGAAGGAGGGGAAUGGCAAGGACGCUGGAGGAGGAGGCAAGAGGGCAGAGUGCGCCCCGCCCACGCGCUUCGCCACGUCUCCGAGCUCCGUCAUCCCGAGCAACCCGCACUCCCGGAGCAGCAUCUCGAGCCUCUCCGGCUCGGAGGUGUCGAGCAUGUACGACCACGACGACGUGGACCACUACAACAGCAUCGAGCACCUCCGGACGCCCUUCUUCACCCCGCUGCCGAUCAUCAUGGACGGCGAGCACGGGGCAUCCGCCCCCUUCAAGUGGGCCACGGCCGCCGACGGCUGCUGUGAGCUCCUCAAGGCGUGA